GUUGCAGAGUUGUAGUUUUAAAAAAAGAAACCUCUUAUUACCUACAAGAUAAAUACAAGAAAAGCUGUGAUGGGUUGUACCUCAUAUGUACCUUUGUUAUUCUGGAAAGACUCAACUCUGGUUAUAGGAAAAGAAUAAUCUGAGGUUGAUACUCAAGGCUGUAUAUUAGGAGUCUUGUCAGAAGUUGAAACGUGCUGUUUUAACAAGAAGUGCCCCAGUGUGACUAUAUUAAUACUGCAGUUCAACUUGAACUUGAAAGCCAUUUUGCAAGAUAAGUCUUUCCCCUUGCUGUGUCUUAUUGAAUGAAGCUAAAGAGUGACUAUUCAAUACAUGGGAUUGCGCCUUUAAAGUUAACAGGAAAUACGCAUUUGUGAACCAGUGACUCUGGCUCACCCAUGAGCCCGGGAAUGGUAAUAACAGUAUCAAGCUGUAAUGGUGCUCGACCAAUUGAGUAUUAACUAAGAAUGAUUUUACCUAGAAAUAAAACUAAGUGGAGAGUCAUAUUAGUUCUCAGUUAACAUUAACAGAGAUAAUAAUACAACAUAGUCUUCCACUAAAACCUUGAAUUUCCAAAAUGUUUUGGAACCUUUGUGAAAAAUUGGAACACUUUAACCUCUAUAUUCUAGUACAUUUUCCCGACCAUGUUCUAAAAUCUUGAAAACUGUACUGAACAAUGCAUAUUAUUUUAUGUUUAUCUUUGUCUUCUCAAUACCUUCCCCUGCCCUUCCUCUGACUUUUCAUAAGUUGGAGGCAAGGGCUAACUUUUAUAUUUUCUCUCUUGGGAGAGACUUAAUUGUGAUUUUCAGACUUCUUUCUCACUUGUUACGUUUGUGUUUAGGUAGCC
rnacentral:lncRNA from 1 species